UCCCCCGGACGACCGGGAUUCGACUUUAAUUAACGCGGGACGACCUGC
rnacentral:ncRNA from 1 species